AACGAACGCUGGCGGCGUGUCUUAAGCAUGCAAGUCGUGCGGCAAGGGUAGCAAUACCCCCAGAGCGGCGGACUGGUGAGUAACGCGUGGGUGAUCUACCCUUGGGAUGGGGAUAGCCACUAGAAAUAGUGGGUAAUACCGAAUACGUUCCCCCGAUUUCGAUUGGGGGAGGAAAAGCGCUUCGGCGCUGCCCGAGGAUGAGCCCGCGUCCCAUUAGCUAGUUGGUGAGGUAACGGCCCACCAAGGCGAUGAUGGGUAGGCGGCCUGAGAGGGUGUACGCCCACACUGGGACUGAGAUACGGCCCAGACUCCUACGGGAGGCAGCAGCUAAGAAUAUUCCGCAAUGGACGAAAGUCUGACGGAGCGACGCCGCGUGGAUGACGAAGGCCGAAAGGUUGUAAAGUCCUUUUGUUGAGGAAGAAUAAGCGCGGGAGGGAAUGCCCGCGUGAUGACAUGAACCGACGAAUAAGCCCCGGCUAACUACGUGCCAGCCGCCGCCGUAA
rnacentral:rRNA from 1 species